rnacentral:rRNA from 1 species
UACGAAGGGUGCAAGCGUUAUUCGGAAUAACUGGGCGUAAAGAGCGCGCAGGCGGGCUUAUAAGUCAUCUGUGAAAGCCCCGGGCUUAACCUGGGAAUUGCAGGUGAAACUGUAAGUCUUGAAUACUGGAGGGGAUGGUGGAAUUGCUGGUGGAGAAGUGAAAUUUAUAGAGAUCAGCAGGAACACCUGAGGCGAAGGCGGCCAUCUGGCCAUGUAUUGACGCUGAGGCGCGAAAGCGUGGGUAGCAAACAGGAUUAGAUACCCUGGUAGUCCACGCCGUAAACGAUGGAUACUAGGUGUUCGGAGUAUUAACCCUCUGAGUACCGAAGUUCACGCAUUAAGUAUCCCGCCUGGGGAGUACGGUCGCAAGGCUAAA